GAUGAACGCUGGCGGCGUGCCUAAUACAUGCAAGUCGAGCGAACGGACGAGAAGCUUGCUUUUCUGAUGUUAGCGGCGGACGGGUGAGUAACACGUGGAUAACCUACCUAUAAGACUGGGAUAACUUCGGGAAACCGGAGCUAAUACCGGAUAAUAUUUUGAACCGCAUGGUUCAAAAGUGAAAGACGGUCUUGCUGUCACUUAUAGAUGGAUCCGCGCUGCAUUAGCUAGUUGGUAAGGUAACGGCUUACCAAGGCAACGAUGCAUAGCCGACCUGAGAGGGUGAUCGGCCACACUGGAACUGAGACACGGUCCAGACUCCUACGGGAGGCAGCAGUAGGGAAUCUUCCGCAAUGGGCGAAAGCCUGACGGAGCAACGCCGCGUGAGUGAUGAAGGUCUUCGGAUCGUAAAACUCUGUUAUUAGGGAAGAACAUAUGUGUAAGUAACUGUGCACAUCUUGACGGUACCUAAUCAGAAAGCCACGGCUAACUACGUGCCAGCAGCCGCGGUAAUACGUAGGUGGCAAGCGUUAUCCGGAAUUAUUGGGCGUAAAGCGCGCGUAGGCGGUUUUUUAAGUCUGAUGUGAAAGCCCACGGCUCAACCGUGGAGGGUCAUUGGAAACUGGAAAACUUGAGUGCAGAAGAGGAAAGUGGAAUUCCAUGUGUAGCGGUGAAAUGCGCAGAGAUGUGGAGGAACACCAGUGGCGAAGGCGACUUUCUGGUCUGUAACUGACGCUGAUGUGCGAAAGCGUGGGGAUCAAACAGGAUUAGAUACCCUGGUAGUCCACGCCGUAAACGAUGAGUGCUAAGUGUUAGGGGGUUUCCGCCCCUUAGUGCUGCAGCUAACGCAUUAAGCACUCCGCCUGGGGAGUACGACCGCAAGGUUGAAACUCAAAGGAAUUGACGGGGGCCCGCACAAGCGGUGGAGCAUGUGGUUUAAUUCGAAGCAACGCGAAGAACCUUACCAAAUCUUGACAUCCUUUGACACCUCUAGAGAUAGAGCCUUCCCCUUCGGGGGACAAAGUGACAGGUGGUGCAUGGUUGUCGUCAGCUCGUGUCGUGAGAUGUUGGGUUAAGUCCCGCAACGAGCGCAACCCUUAAGCUUAGUUGCCAUCAUUAAGUUGGGCACUCUAAGUUGACUGCCGGUGACAAACCGGAGGAAGGUGGGGAUGACGUCAAAUCAUCAUGCCCCUUAUGAUUUGGGCUACACACGUGCUACAAUGGACAAUACAAAGGGCAGCGAAACCGCGAGGUCAAGCAAAUCCCAUAAAGUUGUUCUCAGUUCGGAUUGUAGUCUGCAACUCGACUACAUGAAGCUGGAAUCGCUAGUAAUCGUAGAUCAGCAUGCUACGGUGAAUACGUUCCCGGGUCU
rnacentral:rRNA from 1 species